AGAGUUUGAUCCUGGCUCAGAUUGAACGCUGGCGGCAUGCCUUACACAUGCAAGUCGAACGCGAAAGCGGGGCAACCCGCAAGUAGAGUGGCGAACGGGUGAGUAAUACAUCGGAACGUGUCCAGUAGCGGGGGAUAACCUCUCGAAAGAGAGGCUAAUACCGCAUACGACCUACGGGUGAAAGAGGGGGAUCGCAAGACCUCUCACUAUUGGAGCGGCCGUUGUCGGAUUAGCUAGUUGGCGGGGUAAAAGCCCACCAAGGCGACGAUCCGUAGCUGGUCUGAGAGGACGACCAGCCACACUGGAACUGAGACACGGUCCAGACUCCUACGGGAGGCAGCAGUGGGGAAUUUUGGACAAUGGGCGCAAGCCUGAUCCAGCCAUGCCGCGUGAGUGAAGAAGGCCUUCGGGUUGUAAAGCUCUUUCGGCGGGGACGAAAAGGUUCGUGUCAACACCACGGAUCCAUGACGGUACCCGCAGAAGAAGCACCGGCUAACUACGUGCCAGCAGCCGCGGUAAUACGUAGGGUGCAGGCGUUAAUCGGAAUUACUGGGCGUAAAGCGUGCGCAGGCGGUUUGCUAAGACAGGUGUGAAAUCCCCGGGCUUAACCUGGGAACUGCGCUUGUUACUGGCAAGCUGGAGUGUGGCAGAGGGGGGUGGAAUUCCACGUGUAGCAGUGAAAUGCGUAGAGAUGUGGAGGAACACCGAUGGCGAAGGCAGCCCCCUGGGCUAACACUGACGCUCAUGCACGAAAGCGUGGGGAGCAAACAGGAUUAGAUACCCUGGUAGUCCACGCCCUAAACUAUGUCAACUGGUUGUCGGGGAAGCAAUUCCUUGGUAACGAAGCUAACGCGUGAAGUUGACCGCCUGGGGAGUACGGCCGCAAGGUUAAAACUCAAAGGAAUUGACGGGGACCCGCACAAGCGGUGGAUUAUGUGGAUUAAUUCGAUGCAACGCGAAAAACCUUACCUACCCUUGACAUGUACGGAAGCCUCCAGAGAUGGAGGUGUGCCCGAAAGGGAACCGUAACACAGGUGCUGCAUGGCUGUCGUCAGCUCGUGUCGUGAGAUGUUGGGUUAAGUCCCGCAACGAGCGCAACCCUUGCCAUUAGUUGCCACAUUAAGUUGGGCACUCUAAUGGGACUGCCGGUGACAAACCGGAGGAAGGUGGGGAUGACGUCAAGUCCUCAUGGCCCUUAUGGGUAGGGCUUCACACGUAAUACAAUGGCCGGUACAGAGGGCAGCCAACCCGCGAGGGGGAGCUAAUCCCAGAAAGCCGGUCGUAGUCCGGAUUGCAGUCUGCAACUCGACUGCAUGAAGCCGGAAUCGCUAGUAAUCGCGGAUCAGCAUGUCGCGGUGAAUACGUUCCCGGGCCUUGUACACACCGCCCGUCACGUCACGAAAGUCGGCAACACCCGAAGCCCGUGGCCCAACCAGCUUGCUGGGGGGAGCGGUCGAAGGUGGGGCUGGCGAUUGGGACGAAGUCGUUGCAAGGUA
rnacentral:rRNA from 1 species